UAGCUCAGUGGCAGAGCCUAUGAUUUGCAUUUAUAAGGCCCUGGGUUUGAUCCCCUG
rnacentral:tRNA from 1 species